AGGAAGGUGUUCCAGGUUGAACUAAAGAACAGGAGCAGGGUGGUUCAGAAGGUGUGCUCUGAGAACAGGGAUAUAUUAAGGUGGCCUGAAGAGGAUCUAUUUGUGCACAUGAAGCAUAAUGAUGUCUGGGAUAUAAUUCAUAGAAUAAUCUACUGCCCUGUAGCAAAGGUUGCUUCUACAUCUUGGUUCCUGAAUUUUCUGCAUAUGGCUGGGAUUGAUAAAGAAGAUAUUAAGGAUUUAGUUGAUAGUUUAUCAGAUUUAAACCGUACACAGACAGAUAAUUGGACUGGAGAACAGGGGGGGAUGGGUAUAAGAG